AAUAAAAAUUCUAUUUCUUUUCUAUCUUAUAAAUGUAAUUUUUUUAUAUUUUUUUUCUUAAUUUUAUAUAAGUAUAUUUUUUAAUAAAAAGUUUUUGUAGCUAAAUGUUUUUCAAAAAAAUUAUAGAAUAUAAAAAAAUUAAAUUUAUAAAAUAUUUGAAUUUUUAUUGAAAAUUAUAUGUAAUAAUAAAUAAAUUAUAUAUUUAAAAAUACUAAUAUAUUAUAUAAGUAAAUCAAAUAUUAAAACAAGUUUAAUAUUUUAUAUUAUAAUUAUUUUUUACUCAUGUUUUUUUAGAAAAAUUUAUAAUCAACAUUUUAAAACUUUUAAAAUUAAUCUUAAAGAGUUUUUUGUGUAUUUUAUUUAUUUUAAAUAAAUAAUAAUAUUUUAUAAAUUUUCUAUUUUUUUGAAAUAUUUUUUUAAUAAUUUCAAAUAUUUAGAAUAGAAACUAUUUAUAAAUUAAAACAUUAUACUUGAUUUCUAUUUUAAAUACAUGUUAAGAAGCCAUCAUUAUUCUAGUUGAUAUAAUGUAUGCUAUUUACUCAAGAAAGUUUUAAUAAAUAAUUCAAACUUUAGAGAUAGGAGCACGAAUUAUGGGACAACUUAAUUCAAAAAAUAAGAAAGAUAAGAAAUUGUAAUGAUCAAGAUUCUUUGCAUAAAAAAUAUUUAUUGAUAUUGUUACAUUCUUGACAUGCAUACAUUGUUUUAGAAAAUCAUCAAAAGCAAUCUCAUAAAAAUAUGUCAAAAUAAAGUAAAAUAAAAUAAAAGUUAACCUUAACUAUCAUUUUGACACAUCUUCUAUGCAACUGAUGGUCCACCUCCACUGGCAGCUGUGUGAAGAAACUAGAUUUCAUGUACACACAUAUCGCAGAAACUUUCAGUUGAAGGAUUCAACAACUUGUGAUACAUCUGGCAUCUUUUGAACACUGUUCCAUGAACCGAUUCAACCUUCUUCUUAAAAUAAGGCAUACAGAACCGCAUUUUGGUACAGUUACGGAAUCUAGCAACCAACCUUUUAAAAGCCUUUCAUGGAGAUCAAAUUCAUGACCUAAUACGGAUUUCAUCAAACUGUAGAGAUAGGAGCACGAAUUAUGGGACAAUGAGAAGCUAUAUAUCUACACAAUGAGCUACGAAGUCUGUGAAUACAAAGGUAAUGAGUAUGUUGGUUACGGUACCAGUGAAAGGGCUCAAGCAGAGCGUUCGACUCGUUGCAACAAAGGAUUCGCAUAUUUGAGAUGAUUCUGCAUCCCUGGCUUCUUCAGUGUGGAGCUGAGAAUUACUACACCCCACGGAAUACAAGGUGGCCUAGUGAUCUGAGUUGAUUGUAGGCAAAAAACCAAUUACGACCAACGUUUCGAGAUGCAGAAACGGUUAUGAAUCAUGUUGUACUUGGGGAUUGUUGGUGAAAGACGCAAACCUGCAAUUCUAGGACAGGGAUAAUGCUUCUUUGGUACGCAAAGUAGCGCAAGGAUGCCGUGCAGCUUCGAUCAGACAGUCAUUUAAGAGUGAAUGACAUUCUACGGUGGGAGCUCAAUGAACGAAGUGUAAC
rnacentral:lncRNA from 1 species